UUAUGAGAUACUACCAGAGCCAUGAAAGGGAAUACUGAAAAAGGAAGGAAUUGACACAGACAGGAGAAUGAUGUUUCGCACUUGACACUCACUUCUUCCACUCUGGCAUGUCGAAAGCAAUCGCAAUUUUCCAUUAAUAUUUUAGAUUUCGCACACAGUGUCUGGACAGUGACAGAUGAACACAAGAUACUGUUUCCUAAUUUGACAUAACGUGACUAACAACUGACUAGAGAGGCCUGCGACAUGACAUCACAAUCAGGAGAUUUCCGGCCUCGCACCAUGUUGGAAGACAAACAAGUGCACCGGCGGCUGCAGCUCCACGCACAAGUGACCACAUUACUUUUAAAACUUUAACAAACCAACCAGUCUCCAGGUGUGGUUAAAUUCUGCUCUGAAGUUGUCCCAGUUACUCGCCAAAUCGCCAGCCAUCUUCAUCUCCUCCGGAGGUGGAAUGUUCACUGCCAUGUUGACGUCGUUAGCCUGGCCCGUUGCUAAUUCCUCCGGCUGCUUCGGUUGUUGUUGUUUUUUUUUUUCUUUUUUUUUUUUGCAUCCUGCGUUGAAACGGUGUAUUAAUCCAUUGUGUUGUCUUUUGUUCUAGCCACUCCUGACACCAUUUUUGUGGGUGUGUGUCAACAAAAAACGAUGUGAGACAGCUUUGAAUGCUCAGUAGUGCUUGUAUUUAGUCACGGCUCUCCACAUAACAUUCCCACGCUUCCGCAUACGCUACGCUACUGAAACAAACCAUUGCGAAGGGGGUGGACACAACUAUUCCUAACUGUUGGCUGCUUCAACAUAGCAGGACCCGACAUAAACAGGUCAAGAGACAAGUCAGGAUUCCAGCUGUUAUAAAAAGGCAGGGAGAACAAUCUGAAAAACUUUGUUCUAAACGUCAAAGGGAUUACCUGGCAGCAUUGUGCAGAGCAGAUCUAAACAAUGCUAAUCUGUCCCGGUAUUGUGUCUGCUCGGAUAAUUUUGUCACUGGUGUCAUGAGAGCGUGUCAUCCUUUUCCAUACUACUGUGUGCAGUCCUCCAGUUCCUCUUUGGGUAGUCUCUCAUUAGUGACGUACUGGGCCCAAAAUUCAUCCUGUGAAUUUAGAUGGAGAAUCCCCCCGGUGAGCCCCACUGAAGACGGAGUAUUUUUCUGUUCCUCUUGCCUUGUAACACAACUAACCCAUGAACGGUGACUGUAAUUUUAGGUCUCACGAUGUUUCCUGUAUCUACUAUAUGCAUAAUGUCUACCCAGCCUUAUAUACGGCAUCUCUAAUUAUUUGCUUAUU